rnacentral:rRNA from 1 species
UACGUAGGGGGCAAGCGUUGUCCGGAAUCAUUGGGCGUAAAGCGCGCGUAGGCGGCCCUGUAAGUCCGUUGUGAAAGUCAAAGGCUCAACCUUUGAAAGCCGAUGGAUACUGCAGGGCUAGAGUCCGGAAGAGGCGAGUGGAAUUCCUGGUGUAGCGGUGAAAUGCGCAGAUAUCAGGAGGAACACCGAUGGCGAAGGCAGCUCGCUGGGACGGUACUGACGCUGAGGCGCGAAAGCGUGGGGAGCAAACAGG